UACGUAGGGUCCGAGCGUUGUCCGGAAUUAUUGGGCGUAAAGGGCUCGUAGGCGGUUUGUCGCGUCGGGAGUGAAAACUCAGGGCUCAACCCUGAGCGUGCUUCCGAUACGGGCAGACUAGAGGUAUGCAGGGGAGAACGGAAUUCCUGGUGUAGCGGUGGAAUGCGCAGAUAUCAGGAGGAACACCGGUGGCGAAGGCGGUUCUCUGGGCAUGACCUGACGCUGAGGAGCGGAAAGCAUGGGGAGCGAACAGG
rnacentral:rRNA from 1 species